CGUGGUGUACUCUGCAGUAUCAUCACAGGAAGAGCGCAGGAACUGAAGAAACUGAAGAAAGGGAAUGAAUGAGGCACUUUUUUACCCAGAGGAAACCUGCCACGAGGAAAGAGUCCUGGAAGGAACUCCUGAAUAAGCCUGCAUUCAUGUUUUCAUUCCUGAAAUACAGAAGGCUUUGAGACAUGUCUUCUUCCUUCACUCCUCAAAGGGCUGCGGUAGAGAACAUGAAUUAUGGUGUAACCUGUGGCUGGCAAUAGCAUGUCAGAAGUGGGCACCUCCCUGGGGACAGGAGAGAAAUCACAG